GAUGCUUUGGUGCCUUCGGGAACUCUGAGACAGGUGCUGCAUGGCUGUCGUCAGCUCGUGUUGUGAAAUGUUGGGUUAAGUCCCGCAACGAGCGCAACCCUUUAUCCUUUGUUGCCAGCGGUUCGGCCGGGAACUCAAAGGAGACUGCCGGUGAUAAACCGGAGGAAGGUGGGGAUGACGUCAAGUCAUCAUGGCCCUUACGGCCAGGGCUACACACGUGCUACAAUGGCGCAUACAAAGAGAAGCGACCUCGCGAGAGCAAGCGGACCUCAUAAAGUGCGUCGUAGUCCGGAUUGGAGUCUGCAACUCGACUCCAUGAAGUCGGAAUCGCUAGUAAUCGUAGAUCAGAAUGCUACGGUGAAUACGUUCCCGGGCCUUGUACACACCGCCCGUCACACCAUGGGAGUGGGUUGCAAAAGAAGUAGGUAGCUCAACCUUCGGGAGGGCGCUUACCACUUUGUGAUUCAUGACUGGGGUGAAGUCGUAACAAGGUAGGCGUAGCGAG
rnacentral:rRNA from 1 species